rnacentral:rRNA from 1 species
GAACCCUAGCCCCUUUCCCCGAUCCCCACAGCAGCCGCACACUCUCCUCGCUCGCAGCCUCCUCCUCUCCUCUCCCCCACGCCGCCGGCCUUGUCUCUCCCCCACGCCGCCGGCCUUGUCUCUUCGCUCGUCUCCUCCUCUCUUCCAUGCCUCCAUGGUUCCAGACUGGGAACUGGUCAUCGUCGUGCGAGAGCAGGGCAACGGGGUCUUCGCGGAGGAGUGGAGGGGGAGGAUGCGGACGACAGGGCGAAGGAGGUGGCUGGCGAGGAGGACAAGUAGCAGGGGGGAGGAGAAGGGUGACGCCUCGCACACCGUCUCCUCCCCGCGGCGGUUGGCCGGUCGACUCGUCGCGCCACCGCGUCCUCACCUCCUUUGCGCCAUGAGAGGCGCCGCCUCUGCUUCCACCCCCGCUUCCUGCUUCCUUCCUCCUUUGCACCACAGCUGCUGCUCUACUCCCUCCCUUGCCAGCCACCGGCUCACGAACCUCCCUCGUUUGGGCCAGGGCAGAAGGCCAUGGCGAAUCUUGCGUCUCUGGAAGAAGCAGCAGGGUUGGUGGAGCGUCGAAUACGGGCGGGGUCAACGGUUGAGGGAGGGUCGCCCACCGAAACAGCAGGAGAAAGACCUUGAGUGAAGCUGCAUCAUCCAACAUAGCGAGAUGAAGUACUCAGAAAAAAUUGCAGCAAGUGCGAUUGAUAGUCAAGGAAUUGAUUUGAUUCUGAAUCUUCCGUUCUUCAGAUUUGUCUGAAGUGGAACGGACGGUCGUCACCUUUGACUAAGCUGCUGAGCCCAAGAAAUGUGGCAGACUGGUGGCCUAGCUGUUCAACUUCUCAACACGGUUCAAUUUUGUCUUUGGUCAUCCUUGCAUACACUCGGCAGAGAAGUAUCUAUACUGAAUUUCUGCUCUAGGUAAUUUAUACUCAUAUAAUUUAUCUCUAAUACGCAGUCCAAAUCAUUAGUGCUAGAUCGACAAUUUUUAAGCCCUAUUUGUGGAAGUGCAUUGCAUGUGUAACUAAACUGGGCCUGCACUACUUGCUGCAUCUGUGUUGUAUGCGUUUAGCCAUGAUGUACUCGAGGAAGCUCGAGUUCCUCGACUUUUACAGGUACCAUCCGCCUCCCUCCCGAUAUUCAGAUCUCCGUAUUUGGUGAAUGCGGUGUUUUGGUUUUGUUUCUUGUAUGAUUUUGUGUGUAUGUGCUGGGAGUAUUGAUUCUAGGUGUUAUAUGAUAUGUAUAUUUCCGUGCGAACAUGUGUAGAGUGAGUCGUUGUUAUAUGCCUUGAACAUUAGAAAACCAGAUGAUCAGGAACAACAUAUAGGAAAGCUACUGGAAAGCUACUGUUGUUACCGUGUUGUGAGAUUAUGUAAAGCCUGAACAAGGAGAAUUUUGGGGGUUCCACUCCUUGAAUUUGGUCCAGAAUAAAUGGUUGUUUCCUAUUGCUUGUUCAAAAACUUGUCUGAAAUUAUCAGAGUGAUAUGAGUUCAGGUAUGGUUUGGACUGUCUGUGUGCUUUCUCAAACACAAAGCUAACGAAAAAAUGGGGAUUAUGUUUUUAGUUCGAGCGUGGAUACUCGGCAGUAGCGAUUUAGGUCUUUUUGUAGAACAGAAUGAUUAACUCGGUCUAUUUCUGGAAAACUGCACUGUAGAAGAUAUAUGUAUGAACGAUUGUAACACUGAAAAUGCAAAAUUUACAGUAUGUGGUAGUGAUGGUUGGUGGGGUGUGACUUUUUUGCUGGCAUUGUCCAGUGCAGUUUUAGGAUUUCUACUGAGUGGUGCCGCGUUCUGAGAUUUGUUUUUGUGUGUUGCUGUCUGCAGGAAAAUUCCUAGGGAUUUGAUUGACGGAGGCAUCAGUAUCUGGCAUUGUCCAAGAAGCCAUCGGUGGGGCUGGUGACUGUGGGAUGCUCGCUUGACCCCCUGUCCACAACAAAAACCGGAGGAACCUUCACUUUGUAUAGAUGGUGAUGGAUAUGGACAUAUAAGAACACCUCCCUUCCGAAAAUCAACUAGGGCAGAUAAGAAAACCCACCUGAGAAUCUAUUGUAUACCAUAUUUUUUAGCCUCUUAACAUGUCCAUGUACAUGUUGUAGUCUAUAUUUUGAUAUAGAAUAUAUUGUUACAUGCAACUGUUUGAGUUGGUGGGCCAUUGCUGCUGCCGGCUAAAAUUAUAAUAUUUGUAACUAAUAUUUUUGGUUGACAUAUUACUAGCGAAUUGGAUAUCAUAUCCCUAAACUAGGAAUUCUUUCAUUAUUGGAGGUUUUCAUCUGCAUAUACAAGGUAGCAGAAGAAGCAGGUGAGUGGCCUCUGUUUUGUUUCUUUAUGACAGUAUCCUCUACAUAAUGGUUGAAACGGUGUAUAGCCUGAAGCACGUGAUGUUUCUUUCAGUGUAUAUUUGUGAUUUAUGGCGUUUGAUGCGCAUAGGGCAGAACCUCACAUCACAUACAGUAUUAGAGAGGAAUGUUUUAACAGUUAGUGUUUCAAAGAUUUAUACUGUUUCAGCUAGCUAAUGAAUGUUUGUGGAGCUACAGAUUUGGUAUCAAAAGUACAUCAUUUGGGAAAUUGGGUUUUUAGUUAAUGUGUGUCAGGCAUCAAUAGUUUUGAAAUAUUACCAUGUUGCCGAGUAUAUCAUACAAUUAUAGGUGCAUUUAGUUCCCUAGAACAUUUGUUCUUGACUACCCAGUACCCAGUUGAGAUAUCACCAUUAGCGAAACCACAUUGGAGGUAAUUCUAUUAAGUCGGAAAAGCUAUAUGUUCCAGAAUUAUUGUUUAAUGAAGUACUCAUUUUGCUUUAUUCGUAUAAUAUGUCUUCCUGUUUUGUCAUCGACUUAAUAUUAUCCAUUGAAAGUUCUCCUUUUGUAAUGCGAGUGACCGACAGGACAAAUACCAUUAUGCAUCAAGUAUAGUCGAAGUAGAACUUUGUCCUGGUAUUAGUAGAUUACAUGCUAACGUGCAGAUAACAUGGUUCUGAAGUUGAAAAUCAUUGCCACAAUGUUACAGAUUAGAGUUUCCAAAAUAAUAUUAUACUCCCUCCGUCCGAAAAUACUUGUCGGAGGAAUGGAUGUAUCUAGACGCACUUGUCGGAAAAAUGGAUGAAAAUGGAUGUAUCUACAACUAAAUUGCGUCUAGAUACAUCCAUUCCUCCGACAAGUAUUUUCGGACGGAGGGAGUAGUAAUCACAUCCAUUUCAUUGGAUGUGACGUGAUGUAUCCUAUAUGCGGAGCCAUGAAAGAAAUGUAACUAUGGAAGUUGUAGAUAACAGUAUACAGUUGUUCGAGUGCUCUCUGGCUAAACCUGAUGCCUUUUGUACAUCAAGGCUCUGAAUUUUUGAAGGAUCACAACUUACUUUCAAAGUAACAAUAAUAUUUGGAAAAUAUCAGAGGUGACAGAGAACAAUUUAAUAGGAUAGUGGCAAAUAAGGCCCAUUUCCUUAAGGUAUCAGCACAUAACACUUUUCACUAAUUUGGCCAGUUAGCAAUGCUCUGGUUUGUGCCAGUCAGGAAUUGAGAGCGUCAGUAGUCUCUGCAUAAAUAACCAUCAGACUCGAGGUCAACACUGAGAGAGGGACUGCAUACAGUUUUGUUCAAGCAUACCCCUUCAAGUUAUAAUUGCAAUACACUAUGCUGGAUACAAAUGACCUUUCGAUUUGAACUAUUCAUAUUGUGUAAUUUGAUGACCUGGGCAGGAUCCAGGUUUCGGUUGUUAGCAACUAUAAUGAUCAGACUCUUUUCUCUUUUUGUAGGUAUGCUGGUCUUGAUGUGGUUUUGGACUGAAUGUUUCUCACUUGGAGGAAUGCUUUUUGCUAAAAUCAAUAUAUUUUUCAGUCCCCAACGAUUUUAUUCCUCAGCGCCCAAUGGACUUCUAUCAAUAUUUUCUUCCAAACAAUGUAUUGAAUUGACUAUGAUUCAUUGGAGUUAUUUGACAGAGAGAAAUAUUCUCUGUAUACUGGAUACAGUUACUCAUGAUAGGUCCUUUUACUCCCUAGCGACAAAUACACUCAUUUUUAGUUUUAUGUACCGCCAUUGACAUAUAUCUUUUCUUCCAAACUGUGAGACAUUAUGUAAAUGUACAUCGGGGAAUGUAUUAUGUACAUGUAUAUUAUUUCAAAUGGGUCUCUGCGAACAUGGUAGCAAGUAUUUUGUGCUAUCAGAUUAGAAUGUGUGUAUACAUCUCAUUGUUGACAACAAUGCACCAUAAUUAAGUUUCCCUUCUUUCAGCUUAUUUGUUGCUACCUGAGAUAGUACCAAGUAUGAUCUUUGGUUUGCCAUGUACGACACCGCGGAGUCAUUUUAUUAAGCUGGCAUUAGUAAUUUUGCAUUUUACAUAGUUCAUGUGCAAGUUAAACGUAUGUCCAAUAAUUACUAAUAUUAAGUUUAUAAUGUUGGCACAGUCUGUUAUUGCCGUUAUCUUCUUGGGAGUACUUGAGAAGGCGUGGCUGGGAAUGUGGGGACAUGCCAUGGCAGAGGCGCAUGGUCGGCAGGAGGAGUCAGGGAGGCCUGAAGGUGGACAUGUGGAUGUUAUCGCGGCAUUGACACAUUUCGCUCCACCGAUGCUACAUACCAGGGUGAGUGAAUGCUAUCAUGGCCUUAGAUGCCUUGUCUAAUUCUUGCUUGAAUUUUUGGUUUUGUAUGCUUGGAUGUAUGUUCAGUUCCUACAUUGUUUUUCUCAUGUGGAGUUGAAACCACAUCUGGUUGGUCCAAUAGCAAAUAAUGGUAUGUUUCACUCUGAAAUCAUAUUGCAUAUAGAGAGAUGUUCAUUGUUAGUCAUUGGGUUGUGGUAUGAACUGACGACUUUUAUAGUCAGUUUACCGUGUCAUCUAUUUAGAAUCAAGCAAAUUUGGGCCUAAAAAACAAUCAGGUCGACACAGUAAUUUUGGCAAAACGAGAGACUGUGAUUUUCCUCUCUUUAAUUUUGAAUUAUCUUUGACAGGAAAAUGUUUCCUUUUUUUGGUCUAACCUGUCGUAAUUUUGUCUCGUCGGUCCAUCUAUAUGAGAACCUUCGAAGUGGAAGUCACAAGGUGGAGCCUUUGACAGGAAAAUGUUUCCUGUGUUUUGGUCUAACCUGUCGUAAUUUUGUCUCGUCGGUCCAUCUAUAUGAGAACCUUCGAAGUGGAAGUCACAAGGUGGAGCCUUUGACAGGAAAAUGUUUCCUGUUUUUUGGUCUAACCUGUCGUAAUUUUUUCUCGUUGGUCCAUCUAUACGAGAACCUUCUAUGUGGAAGUCACAUGGUGGAGUCUCAGUAUGUUUUUAUUCAAGGUAAGCUGAAAAGUUUUUACAUGAUAUUUGAACUGAAACUUAACUAUGUCAUGACUGAUACUUCAUUUAAGACUCCUGGCUGAUACUAUGACCAGAUCUUCUCCGUCUUGAUUCUUAAUGCCUUCUUCGUUUUAGUCUCCAUCUACAUGUGCAAUCAAUAUUUUGCUAGAGAUGUCUAUAUAAUUGUAUUGCACAUUGUUUUUCUGCUAUCUAAAUAACACUUUAGUUGGCUUUGGCGGUGGUGGUGCAGGAUUUGUUGGAAGCCACAGAGCGCACCCGAGAAAGAGAGGAGGAGAAUGCUCUGAAGAGAGGAAAUGAUAAGUUUUAUUGUUUUGUUUUAAGAGAAAGGGAUUUGAUAUGUAGUCCUCUGGCUUAUUUGUAUUCUACUAUGUGUAUGGCCAAAGAAAUCAUGAUUUCAUACACAUAUAUUUUUAAACAAAACCCUAUGUAUGUUUUGCUCAAACAGUGUCAUUGGAAAGCGCUCAUAUUUUCAAUGCGUACAUGAUUUUAAAUGGUUCUUUGUGAAGAUGGUAGCAAAUAUUUUGUGCUAUCAAAUUAAAAUGUGUGUAUAUACAUCUCAUUGUAGACAACAAUCGACCAUGUUUCUUAUUAAAGGUUAUUGCACCAUGGAUAAUUUUUUCCUUGUGCAUAGGGAUUUAGAGUGCCUCUGCAUCAUUUGGUGCAACAGAUCCC